rnacentral:rRNA from 1 species
AAGGCAGCCCCCUGGGCCAAUACUGACGCUCAUGCACGAAAGCGUGGGGAGCAAACAGGAUUAGAUACCCUGGUAGUGCACGCCCUAAACGAUGUCAACUAGUUGUUGGGGAUUCAUUUCCUUAGUAACGUAGCUAACGCGUGAAGUUGACCGCCUGGGGAUUACGUUCGCAAGAUUAAAACUCAAAGUAAUUGACGGGGACCCGCACAAGCGGUGGAUGAUGUGGAUUAAUUCGAUGCAACGCGAAAAACCUUACCUACCCUUGACAUGGUCGGAAUCCUGCUGAGAGGUGGGAGUGCUCGAAAGAGAACCGGCGCACAGGUGUUUCAUGGUUGUCGUCAGCUCGUGUCGUGAGAUGUUGGGUUAAGUCCCGCAUCGAGCGCAAUCCUUGUCCUUAUGUUCUACGCAAGAGCACUCUAAGGAGACUGCCGGUGACAAACCGGAGGAAGGUGGGGAUGACGUCAAGUCCUCAUGGCCCUUAUGGGUAGGGCUUCACACGUCAUACAAUGGUCGGAACAGAGGGUUGCCAACCCGCGAGGGGGAGCUAAUCCCAGAAAACCGAUCGUAGUCCGGA